rnacentral:sRNA from 1 species
GCUGGGCGUGGUGGGCACACCUGUAGUCCCAGCAGCUCGGGAGGCUGAGGCAGGAGGAUUGCCGGUUCAGAGCCAGACUUAGGGACCACAAGGCACUUGGCAACUUAGUGAUACCCUGUCUCUA